rnacentral:lncRNA from 1 species
UCAGCUAUCAACCAUGCUAAUCUAGACAUCUUCAGCCAUAUGAUCAUUGAACUACUAUUAAUUCACAUGAUGAUAUUUUCCAUCUUCCAUCAGCUGAUUUAAAUUUUGUAACUUGGGAAGAUGGUGUCUACCUGAAUGUCUUGGACAGACAACAUGAUCAAACAACAAUAACGGAAUCAAUAAAACUUACCUUUGCUUGUAGGA